AACGAACGCUGGCGGCAGGCUUAACACAUGCAAGUCGAACGCAUCCUUCGGGGUGAGUGGCAGACGGGUGAGUAACGCGUGGGAACGUGCCCUUCAGUCCGGGAUAACCCAGGGAAACUUGGGCUAAUACCGGAUACGUGCGAGAGCAGAAAGAUUUAUCGCUGAAGGAUCGGCCCGGGUCUGAUUAGCUAGUUGGUGGGGUAAUGGCCCACCAAGGCGACGAUCAGUAGGUGGUCUGAGAGGAUGAUCAGCCACAUUGGGACUGAGACACGGCCCAAACUCCUACGGGAGGCAGCAGUGGGGAAUAUUGGACAAUGGGCGCAAGCCUGAUCCAGCCAUGCCGCGUGAGUGAUGAAGGCCUUAGGGUUGUAAAGCUCUUUCGUCCGGGACGAUAAUGACGGUACCGGAAGAAGAAGCCCCGGCUAACUUCGUGCCAGCCGCCGCAGUAA
rnacentral:rRNA from 1 species